AACGAACGCUGGCGGCAUGCCUAACACAUGCAAGUCGAACGAAACCUUCGGGUCUAGUGGCGUCCGGGUGCGUAACGCGUGGGAACCUGCCCUUAGGUUCGGCAUAACUCCCCGAAAGGGGUGCUAAUACGGGACAAUGUCUUCGGACCAAAGAUUUAUCGCCUUUGGAUGGGCCCGAGUUGGAUUAGCUGGUUGGUAGGGUAAAAGCCUACCAAGGCGAGGAUCCAUAGCUGGUCUGAGAGGAUGAUCAGCCACACUGGGACUGGGACACGGCCCAGACUCCUACGGGAGGCGGCAGUGGGGAAUAUUGGACAAUGGGCGAAAGCCUGAACCACCAAUGCCGCGUGAGUGAUGAAGGCCUUAGAGUUGUAAUGCUCUAUUACCCGGGAUGGUAAUGACGGUACCGGGAGAAUAAGCUCCGGCUAACUCCGUG
rnacentral:rRNA from 1 species